rnacentral:rRNA from 1 species
AUACGUAGGUGACAAGCGUUAUCCGGAUUUACUGGGCGUAAAGCGCACGCAGGCGGCUGAUUAAGUCUGACGUGAAAUCUCCUGGCUUAACUGGGAGGGGUCGUUGGAAACUGGUUGGCUUGAGGUGGUGAGAGGGGUGUGGAAUUCCCGGUGUAGUGGUGGAAUGCGUAGAUAUCGGGAGGAACACCAGUGGCGAAAGCGGCACCCUGGCACUGACCUGACGCUCAUGUGCGAAAGCGUGGGGAGC